rnacentral:rRNA from 1 species
AAAAGGUCCCCGUAGGUGACCUGCGGAGGGAUCAUUACACAAAUAUGAAGGCGGGCUGGAACCUCUCGGGGUUACAGCCUUGCUGAAUUAUUCACCCUUGUCUUUUGCGUACUUCUUGUUUCCUUGGUGGGUUCGCCCACCACUAGGACAAACAUAAACCUUUUGUAAUUGCAAUCAGCGUCAGUAACAAAUUAAUAAUUACAACUUUCAACAACGGAUCUCUUGGUUCUGGCAUCGAUGAAGAACGCAGCGAAAUGCGAUAAGUAGUGUGAAUUGCAGAAUUCAGUGAAUCAUCGAAUCUUUGAACGCACAUUGCGCCCUUUGGUAUUCCAAAGGGCAUGCCUGUUCGAGCGUCAUUUGUACCCUCAAGCUUUGCUUGGUGUUGGGCGUCUUGUCUCUAGCUUUGCUGGAGACUCGCCUUAAAGUAAUUGGCAGCCGGCCUACUGGUUUCGGAGCGCAGCACAAGUCGCACUCUCUAUCAGCAAAGGUCUAGCAUCCAUUAAGCCUUUUUUUCAACUUUUGACCUCGGAUCAGGUAGGGAUACCCGCUGAACUUA